GUGAUGCUCUGCCUCCAGCCUACACAAGAGACGGCUUGAAUCGAUGGUAUGCUUCUCUUCAGGCUUCCAAUAAAGCCUUAGAUUACUGCAUUGGGGAGAGCAUGAAGAAGAUUCGCCUUCGGAAUGAAGAAAAUUGGCAGGAGUGUAUGGACUUUGUGGAACAGUGCAAGAAAGCUCUCGAGGAGGCAGCUAGACAGGCAGAAGUACAGAUCCAAGAUCUAUUCACGUAUUUACAGACAACUCUUCACCUCUGGGAGGUCCAUCAGAACCACCUGACCCAGGAAGAAAUCAAUCUUGAGAAGAGACUAGAGCAGUAUCGCUAUAAACACAAUUAUG
rnacentral:lncRNA from 1 species